rnacentral:rRNA from 1 species
AGUCCACCGGCGCUGGAAUGCCCAAUGGACGAAAGGCUUGCCGCCUUAGGAUGGCUCUGCGACCUAUCAGGUUGUAGGGAGGGUAACGGCCUCCCUAGCCUACGACGGGUACGGGCGUUGAGAGACGUCGCCCGGAGAUGAACUCUGAGACACGAGUUCAGGCCCUACGGGGCGCAGCAGGCGCGAAAACUGCACAAUGCUGGAAACAGCGAUGCGGGAAUUCCAAGUGCCAGCACUGAGUGUUGGCUGUUCCAUUGUCUAAAAAACAUUUUUAAGUAAGGGCUGGGUAAGACGGGUGCCAGCCGCCGCGGUAAUACCUGCAGCCCGAGUGGUGGCCGUUAUUAUUGGGCCUAAAACGUCCGUAGCCUGUUUGGUAGAUGCCUGUGUAAAUCGAACGGCUUAACCGUUCGAACUGCGGGUAGACCGCCAGACUUGGGACCGGGAGAGUCACGAAGUACUCCGGGGGUAGAGGUGAAAUUCUGUAAUCCUCGGGGGACUACCGGUGGCGAAGGCGUCGUGAUAGAACGGCUCCGACGGUGAGGGACGAAGCCCUGGGGCGCAAACCGGAUUAGAUACCCCGGGUAGUCCAGGUGUAAACGC